rnacentral:rRNA from 1 species
CGAAAGCCUGACGGAGCAAUACCGCGUGAGGGAGGAAGGCUCUUGGGUCGUAAACCUCAAAACUUAGGGAAGAAGAAAGUGACGGUACCUAAUGUAAGCAUCGGCUAACUCCGUGCCAGCAGCCGCGGUAAUACGGAGGAUGCGAGCGUUAUCCGGAAUCAUUGGGCGUAAAGAGUCUGUAGGUGGCACUUCAAGUCUGCUGUCAAAGACCGAAGCUCAACUUCGGAAAGGCGGUGGAAACUGAAGAGCUAGAGUAAAGCAGGGGUAGAGGGAAUUCCCAGUGUAGCGGUGAAAUGCGUAGAUAUUGGGAAGAACACCAGUGGCGAAGGCGCUCAACUGGGCCGUAACUGACACUCAGGGACGAAAGCUAGGGGAGCG